UACAGAGGGUGCGAGCGUUAAUCGGAAUUACUGGGCGUAAAGCGCACGUAGUCGGCUUUGCAAGUCGGGUGUGAAAUCCCCGGGCUCAACCUGGGAACUGCAUCCGAGACUGCAUUGCUAGAGUAUGGGAGAGGGAAGCGGAAUUUCUGGUGUAGCAGUGAAAUGCGUAGAUAUCAGAAGGAACAUCAGUGGCGAAGGCGGCUUCCUGGACCAAUACUGACGAUCAGGUGCGAAAGCGUGGGGAGCAAGCAGG
rnacentral:rRNA from 1 species